rnacentral:rRNA from 1 species
UACGGAGGGUGCAAGCGUUAGUCGGAAUUACUGGGCGUAAAGGGUGCGUAGGCUGGAUUAUAAGUCAGAUGUGAAAAACCAAAGCUCAACUUUGGCAGUGCAUCUGAAACUGUAAUUCUAGAGGGAUAGCGGAGAAAACGGAAUUCCAUGUGUAGCGGUGAAAUGCGUAGAUAUAUGGAAGAACACCUGUGGCGAAAGCGGUUUUCUAGCUUACACCUGACGCUGAGGCACGAAAGCAAGGGGAGCAAACAGG